AUUGAACGCUGGCGGCAUGCUUUACACAUGCAAGUCGAACGGCAGCGCGGGCUUCGGCCUGGCGGCGAGUGGCGAACGGGUGAGUAAUGCAUCGGAACGCGCCCAGUAGUGGGGGAUAGCCCGGCGAAAGCCGGAUUAAUACCGCAUACGACCUGAGGGUGAAAGCGGGGGACCGAAAGGCCUCGCGCUAUUGGAGCGGCCGAUGUCGGAUUAGCUAGUUGGUGGGGUAAAGGCUUACCAAGGCGACGAUCCGUAGCUGGUCUGAGAGGACGACCAGCCACACUGGGACUGAGACACGGCCCAGACUCCUACGGGAGGCAGCAGUGGGGAAUUUUGGACAAUGGGGGCAACCCUGAUCCAGCCAUGCCGCGUGCGGGAAGAAGGCCUUCGGGUUGUAAACCGCUUUUGUUCGGGAAGAAAUCCUCUGGGCUAAUACCCCGGGGGGAUGACGGUACCGGAAGAAUAAGCACCGGCUAACUACGUG
rnacentral:rRNA from 1 species